rnacentral:lncRNA from 1 species
GAUUUCUUGGGGAAGAAGAAGGAGGAGGAGAAGCCUGUUCAUCAUGAACAGAUGGUCAGCGAGUUCGAGAAAGUCAAGGUGUCUGAGCCUGAGCCAGCUUAUGUAGACUGCAGCAGCAAACCUGUUGAGCAUGGCUAUCAUCACGAGGAACCUAAGGAGGAACAUAAGAAGGAGGAGGAGAAGAAGCAUGAAACUCUCUCCGAGAAGCUUCGCCGAUCCGACAGCAGCUCCAGCUCGGUAAGUCGAUCACCUCUUACUACAAUGAUACGUUUCAAUUGAACUACUUAACCAACCAGUUCACUGCUACCUACUACUAUAGUGAUCUUUCUUAAACGCAUUGUGUUUCAUGAUUAAUAUGUUUGACUAAUAAUAUAUUGGACGAUGAAUUUGCAGUCAAGUGACGAGGAAGGAGACGAUGAAGAGAAAAAAAGAAGAGGAAGGAGAAGAAGGGACUGAAGGAGAAGCUCAAGGAGAAGAUCGCCGGCGACAAAGAAGAAGAAGAGAAGAAGAAACACGGCUACGAGCAGGACACUGAGGUCCCGGUGGAGAAGUUCCACGAGGAACAAGAACAUCCCUACGAUCACGGCCCGCACCACCAUGAGGAGCCAAAAGUUGAGCCAACAGUAGCCUACACAGAGGAGCAGAAGAAGGAGGACGAGAAGAAGGGUUUCCUUGAGAAGAUCAAGGACAAGCUUCCCGGACACAAGAAGCCGGAAGAUGUUCCCGUUGCGUCUCCACCACCGCCGGAGUAUGAAAAUGUUGAGC